UUGAACGCUGGCGGCAGGCCUAACACAUGCAAGUCGAACGGUAGCACAGAGAGCUUGCUCUCGGGUGACGAGUGGCGGACGGGUGAGUAAUGUCUGGGAAACUGCCUGAUGGAGGGGGAUAACUACUGGAAACGGUAGCUAAUACCGCAUAACGUCGCAAGACCAAAGAGGGGGACCUUCGGGCCUCUUGCCAUCAGAUGUGCCCAGAUGGGAUUAGCUAGUAGGUGGGGUAACGGCUCACCUAGGCGACGAUCCCUAGCUGGUCUGAGAGGAUGACCAGCCACACUGGAACUGAGACACGGUCCAGACUCCUACGGGAGGCAGCAGUGGGGAAUAUUGCACAAUGGGCGCAAGCCUGAUGCAGCCAUGCCGCGUGUAUGAAGAAGGCCUUCGGGUUGUAAAGUACUUUCAGCGGGGAGGAAGGUGUUGCGGUUAAUAACCGCAGCAAUUGACGUUACCCGCAGAAGAAGCACCGGCUAACUCCGUGCCAGCAGCCGCGGUAAUACGGAGGGUGCAAGCGUUAAUCGGAAUUACUGGGCGUAAAGCGCACGCAGGCGGUCUGUCAAGUCGGAUGUGAAAUCCCCGGGCUCAACCUGGGAACUGCAUUCGAAACUGGCAGGCUAGAGUCUUGUAGAGGGGGGUAGAAUUCCAGGUGUAGCGGUGAAAUGCGUAGAGAUCUGGAGGAAUACCGGUGGCGAAGGCGGCCCCCUGGACAAAGACUGACGCUCAGGUGCGAAAGCGUGGGGAGCAAACAGGAUUAGAUACCCUGGUAGUCCACGCCGUAAACGAUGUCGACUUGGAGGUUGUGCCCUUGAGGCGUGGCUUCCGGAGCUAACGCGUUAAGUCGACCGCCUGGGGAGUACGGCCGCAAGGUUAAAACUCAAAUGAAUUGACGGGGGCCCGCACAAGCGGUGGAGCAUGUGGUUUAAUUCGAUGCAACGCGAAGAACCUUACCUACUCUUGACAUCCAGAGAACUUUCCAGAGAUGGAUUGGUGCCUUCGGGAACUCUGAGACAGGUGCUGCAUGGCUGUCGUCAGCUCGUGUUGUGAAAUGUUGGGUUAAGUCCCGCAACGAGCGCAACCCUUAUCCUUUGUUGCCAGCGGUCCGGCCGGGAACUCAAAGGAGACUGCCAGUGAUAAACUGGAGGAAGGUGGGGAUGACGUCAAGUCAUCAUGGCCCUUACGAGUAGGGCUACACACGUGCUACAAUGGCGCAUACAAAGAGAAGCGAACUCGCGAGAGCAAGCGGACCUCAUAAAGUGCGUCGUAGUCCGGAUUGGAGUCUGCAACUCGACUCCAUGAAGUCGGAAUCGCUAGUAAUCGUAGAUCAGAAUGCUACGGUGAAUACGUUCCCGGGCCUUGUACACACCGCCCGUCACACCAUGGGAGUGGGUUGCAAAAGAAGUAGGUAGCUUAACCUUCGGGAGGGCGCUUACCACUUUGUGAUUCAUGACUGGGGUG
rnacentral:rRNA from 1 species